rnacentral:rRNA from 1 species
UACGUAGGUGGCAAGCGUUGUCCGGAAUUAUUGGGCGUAAAGAGCUCGUAGGCGGUUUGUCGCGUCUGCCGUGAAAGUCCGGGGCUUAACCCCGGAUCUGCGGUGGGUACGGGCAGACUAGAGUGCAGUAGGGGAGACUGGAAUUCCUGGUGUAGCGGUGAAAUGCGCAGAUAUCAGGAGGAACACCGAUGGCGAAGGCAGGUCUCUGGGCUGUAACUGACGCUGAGGAGCGAAAGCGUGGGGAGCAAACAGG